UGCCACAUGAAGAAGUAAAUAAAAUAACUGAGAUGCCUCUGGAAAGUGAAUAUACUAGCUAAGGAGGAAAUGGCUUGAAGCCAUUCUACUCAUGUCCUUAUUGGUUGAAUGACUGGACCUCCAGAGGGCUCUGAAAGCAUAGUUACAGGGUAUAUUUUGAUGAGCAGAGAAAUGGUCAACUAUAAGAGCCAAGAAGUAAAAUAGCUUAUUUUUGCUUGGGAGGUGAGGGCAGUUCAUGAAAUGAAAAAGAAAAACAAUUCCAAAAAAGAGAUGGAGGUUACUCUGUACAUAACAUCUCUUUGAAAUGGUGUCACAGAUUAGCUAAAACUCGGACCAAUCAUUUUAUGUAGGCUUUUGUGGCUCUAAAGAACAGAAAUUUGUAGUCAUUAACCAAAGAAAAUGCAAUUAUUAUAUAAGUACAUAUGGGAAUGGAAGUAGAGCUAAAAAGGUACUGACAACAAAGGCAGGCUCUGGAGUUCUUUCUAAAGUUUCAUAGUUCUACACAAUUUACUAUCUUGCAACUUUCAUAUCUUGUUCACAUUCUACUAGAUACUCAUAGUUCCUGCUCCUUUGUGAUUUUGAAAACAUGGCUUCAGCUUGCUGUCUCACCUGAAGAAAAAAAUCUCACUAAGUCUCUUCAGAUUCAUAUCCUCCUGCUUAUAGCAGUAGCCUUUUGCAAUAUUUGCCUCAGUUCAAUGUGUAUUUGGCCUAAUUUGUCUUUACAUGUGAGGUCAGAAGUUACAGGUUUCUGGCCAGCCUUGAGUUCUAGCAACUGUGGUCAAAACAAAAGAUACUUGAGAGGUCCUAAGAGCCCCAGAGAGCAGUUUUCUGUCAUAUGAUGCAACACUCUGGGUAGAGGGAGCUGGUUGUUUAUGUUUUCUUUUUAGAGUUGAAAUACAUAUACCAUACUUUGUUUUGUUGUCCUGAGGUUUAAACAUAGGGCUUUGAACUUGUAUGUAAGGUACAUUACUGCUGACCCAUACUUUCAGCCCUUCCUGCUCUUGUUUGAGCUAAAUCCUUGCUUUAGGCCCCAGCUAGCCUGGACUGCAAUCCUAUUUACACUUCCUAUGAGAACUACCUUUCUACCUUUUUAUCCCCCUUUCUAUUUCCUUUCUUCAAAAAAGAAAUAUUGUUCAGAAAGGCAUAUGCUCUUUGGUUAUACUUGGUACUUAGCUGGUACUCAGAAUUUUAAAGUGAAUGUUACCAAGUUUGGGAUGAAGUCACCACAUUGAAAACUAAGACAAAGAAG